rnacentral:rRNA from 1 species
UUCCUACGGGUGGCAGCAGUGGGGAAUUUUGGGCAAUGGGCGCAAGCCUGACCCAGCAACGCCGCGUGGAGGACGAAGGUUUUCGGAUCGUAAACUCCUGUCCGGAGGGACGAAGCAAGUGACGGUACCUCCGGAGGAAGCCCCGGCUAACUCCGUGCCAGCAGCCGCGGUAAUACGGGGGGGGCAAGCGUUGUUCGGAAUUACUGGGCGUAAAGGGCGCGUAGGCGGCUUCGGAAGUCAUGGGUGAAAGCCCUCGGCUCAACCGGGGAAGGGCCUGUGAAACCACGGGGCUGGAGUGCUGGAGAGGGGAGCGGAAUUCCCAGUGUAGCGGUGAAAUGCGUAGAUAUUGGGAGGAACAUCGGUGGCGAAGGCGGCUUCCUGGACAGACACUGACGCUGAGGCGCGAAAGCCGGGGGAGCGAACGGGAUUAGAUACCCCAGUAGUCGGU